UCCAGUUUGCUUGCAAACUGGAGAUGGCGACCGGCGCACGGGUGAGUAACACGUAUCCAACCUGCCGAUAACUCGGGGAUAGCCUUUCGAAAGAAAGAUUAAUACCCGAUGGCAUAAUAGAACCGCAUGGUUUGAUUAUUAAAGAAUUUCGGUUAUCGAUGGGGAUGCGUUCCAUUAGGCAGUUGGUGGGGUAACGGCCCACCAAACCUUCGAUGGAUAGGGGUUCUGAGAGGAAGGUCCCCCACAUUGGAACUGAGACACGGUCCAAACUCCUACGGGAGGCAGCAGUGAGGAAUAUUGGUCAAUGGACGAGAGUCUGAACCAGCCAAGUAGCGUGAAGGAUGACUGCCCUAUGGGUUGUAAACUUCUUUUAUAUGGGAAUAAAGUGGUCCACGUGUGGAUUUUUGUAUGUACCAUAUGAAUAAGGAUCGGCUAACUCCGUGCCAGCAGCCGCGGUAAUACGGAGGAUCCGAGCGUUAUCCGGAUUUAUUGGGUUUAAAGG
rnacentral:rRNA from 1 species